UACGGAGGGUGCGAGCGUUAAUCGGAAUUACUGGGCGUAAAGCGUGCGUAGGCGGCUCGUUAAGUUAGAUGUGAAAGCCCCGGGCUCAACCUGGGAACUGCAUCUAAAACUGGCGAGCUAGAGUGCGGAAGAGGAGUGUGGAAUUUCCUGUGUAGCGGUGAAAUGCGUAGAUAUAGGAAGGAACACCAGUGGCGAAGGCGACACUCUGGUCUGACACUGACGCUGAGGUACGAAAGCGUGGGGAGCAAACAGG
rnacentral:rRNA from 1 species